rnacentral:rRNA from 1 species
AGCAGCCGCGGUAAUACGAAGGGACCUAGCGUAGUUCGGAAUUACUGGGCUUAAAGAGUUCGUAGGUGGUUGAAAAAGUUGGUGGUGAAAUCCCAGAGCUUAACUCUGGAACUGCCAUCAAAACUUUUCAGCUAGAGUAUGAUAGAGGAAAGCAGAAUUUCUAGUGUAGAGGUGAAAUUCGUAGAUAUUAGAAAGAAUACCAAUUGCGAAGGCAGCUUUCUGGAUCAUUACUGACACUGAGGAACGAAAGCAUGGGUAGCGAAGAGGAUUAGAUACCCUCGUAGUCCAUGCCGUAAACGAUGUGUGUUAGACGUUGGAAAUUUAUUUUCAGUGUCGCAGCGAAAGCGAUAAACACACCGCCUGGGGAGUACGACCGCAAGGUUAAAACUCAAAUGAAUUGACGGGGACCCGCACAAGUAGUGGAGCAUGUGGUUUAAUUCGAAGAUACGCGCAGAACCUUACCAACACUUGACAUGUUCGUCGCGACUCUAAGAGAUUAGAGUUUUCGGUUCGGCCGGACGAAACACAGGUGCUGCAUGGCUGUCGUCAGCUCGUGUCGUGAGAUGUUGGGUUAAGUCCCGCAACGAGCGCAACCCUCACUUUUAGUUGCCAUCAUUAAGUUGGGCACUCUGAAAGAACUGCCAGUGAUAAGCUGGAGGAAGGUGGGGAUGACGUCAAGUCCUCAUGGCCCUUACGUGUUGGGCUACACACGUGCUACAAUGGUAUCUACAACAGGAAGCAAGACUGCGAGGUCAAGCAAAUCCUUAAAAGAUACCUCAGUUCGGAUUGCACUCUGCAACUCGAGUGCAUGAAGCUGGAAUUACUAGUAAUCGUGGAUCAGCGUGCCACGGUGAAUGCGUUCCCGGGUCUUGUACACACCGCCCGUCACACCAUGGGAGUUGGUUCUACCUUAAGGCAAGGUUUCAAACCCUUGACCACGGUAUAGUCAGCGACUGGGGUGAAGUCGUAACAAGGUAGCCG